rnacentral:rRNA from 1 species
GUCCGCCCGUCGGAUUCAGUCCGCCUGCGCGGCGGAGCCGUCGAGCGCGCAUCUCUCGUGGGAGCGUGCCGGCGUCUCGUGCGUCGUGCGGCGGCCGUACUUUCGGCGGGCGGAGCGCCACGACCGGUUCGUCGGCGGCGAGAAACUCCCGGGCAAGGUGACCGUCGCCUCGGCGUCGGAGCAUACAGGCCCGGCGAGCGCAGGCCCGUCGGCGGACCGAGGAAGACCGUCGCGGUGCGGCGUCGACCGCCCGUCGUGGGCGCGCGUUCGAAUCGGGGGGACUGGUUCCAGUGCCCUCGGACCGCGUGCGUCUAUCGGCGGGACGGCCCGGCGUCGCGCCUGGGGUCGGUGGCGAAACGGCCGGCAACCUGUCCGACCCGUCUUGAAACACGGACCAAGGAGUCUAACAUGUGCGCGAGUCGUUGGGCGCUACGAAACCCGAAGGCGAAAUGAAAGUGAAGGCCCGGUCUCCGGCCGGCCUAGGUGGGAUCGGCCGGUCGCGGCCGCCCGGCGCACCACCGGCCCGUCUCGUUCGCCGCGUCGAAGAGGCGGAGCAAGAGCGUACACGUUGGGACCCGAAAGAUGGUGAACUAUGCCUGAGUAGGACGAAGCCAGAGGAAACUCUGGUGGAGGUCCGCAGCGAUUCUGACGUGCAAAUCGAUCGUCAAACUUGGGUAUAGGGGCGAAAGACUAAUCGAACCAUCUAGUAGCUGGUUCCUGUCGAAGUUUCCCUCAGGA